rnacentral:tRNA from 1 species
AUAUUAGCUUAGUUGGUAGAGCAGCUGACUCUUAAUCAGCAGGUCGUAGGUUCGAUCCCUACAUAUC